CCUGAUCGAAAAUUCCUAUUGUAACCACAGAAACUUUGAUAGUGUAAACCAGGCUUUAAAUUUGCCCAAAGUAGCGCAACGGAACUUCGUAGCCUGCGAACAGGCGCUCAUUAUGCACGAUCAAAAAUUGCGGCCACAAGUGAACUAACUAGUUAAAGGCACAGUUCAGCCUUUUGAAUGAUGGCGUUUAAGGCGCAUUUCAGCCGUUUUAAUUGAAAAAACUAACUAGGAA